AGAGUUUGAUUCUGGCUCAGAGUGAACGCUGGCGGCGUGCCUAACACAUGCAAGUCGAGCGGUUCCAGGGUAGCAAUACCUUGGAAUAGCGGCGAACGGGUGAGUAACACGUGGGUAAUCUCCCCUCGAGUGAGGAAUAAACCCUCGAAAGGGGGCCUAAUACCGCAUGAAACUCCGGGACUUAUGUCUUCGGAGUCAAAGCCGAAAGGCGCUUGAGGAUGAGCCUGCGUCCUAUUAGCUAGUUGGUAGGGUAAUGGCCUACCAAGGUUAUGAUGGGUAGCCGGCCUGAGAGGGUGUACGGCCACACUGGGACUGAGACACGGCCCAGACUCCUACGGGAGGCAGCAGUGAGGAAUUUUUGCGCAAUGGGGGAAACCCUGACGCAGCCGACGCCGCGUGGAGGAUGAAGGCCUUCGGGUCGUAAACUCCUGUCAGAGGUGAAGAAUGCCCGCAAGGGUUUGACGGUAACCUCAGAGGAAGCCCCGGCUAACUACGUGCCAGCCGCCGC
rnacentral:rRNA from 1 species